GGCGGCGGGCGGCGGGGCGGCGAGGCCAAGCGGCCCGGCCGACAGGGUCGGCUUGCAGGGCAGAGGGCCGCUCGGUCGUCUUCAAAGCCUGGGAACGCCGGGCGCCGUUAUUCGGAAGCCAGCCCGCGCCUCCUGGGGGACGUGCUCUCCCGGUGACCUCUUCCAUCCCGGCCUCCCGCCGAGCUGAAGCCUAGGUGUGUGUUGGCCGAAGAAGCCAUCUCGCAGCGGACAGCCUGCAGGUCAACGGGGUGGCUUAUUGGUCGAGGGGUUGAUGCUGUGGAAGACGGAUGAGAAGGCACUGCUCGAGAAGCGGGGGGAGGACAAGGGGAAGCUCAUGCUCACGGGCCGCUCUGUAACCAAGACAAGCCAGGCAAAGGGAGGGCUGCUUUUGUUCUGCGCCUCCCCAGGAAAGUGGCUUCAGGCACCAACCACAGGCCGGUGAGAGGCCUCCCAGAAGAGCAGUGGUCCCCAGGUUACCUCUCAUCAAGCCUGGGACAUCCCCGCCCCUCUUCUUCAGCUCCCCGUAGCAGCCAUCACAGACCUUGGCCAUCCGGUCCUUGAGGUACUUCAGAGGGUACUUGUUUCUUGAACAGUUCCGGCACACAAUCUGCAAGGCCAGUUGGGGACACAUGCUGGAACGGUUCUCACCCUCUGCAUGUGCAGAAGGCCAGCGUCCUCUCCCCUCUGCUGACCAGCCCCCUGCCACUUCUCCAGGAACUGUUCUGAGUGCAGGACUGUGCCAGGUCCCCCUGCUUUUCCAUCGUAGAGACACAGUUUCUCUGCAAAUGUCUUAUCAGUUUGUCUGAUAAGCCCUUAACCAGGACACAAUACUUUUUCUCCAAAGACAACAGCCACAUGUGCUCUGAUUUUCCUUUGGGAAUGCAUUGGUCUAAUAGAACGGGAUUUGGAGCCCUGGCUCCAGGCUCUCAGUAUAAUGGGCAUCAACAAUUCCUACCUGACAGGGUUAGUGUGAAAACACCCUGACCUGGGUUCCACAGCAACUGCUGGGUGCCCCUGAAUCCCCACCCCACCCCACACGACCCUAUGUCACUCACCCAGACGAGUGUGACUCACCUUGCCACAGGCAUGGCAGUGAUGACGCCUCAGGGUGAGGGAGAAGUCACAGCCACAGUUCAUGCACAUCAUAACAUGUGUGACAGGCACCAGAGUGGGGGGCCUCUCCCCCAGGCUGACCCCCAGCCUCUCUCGUAUCUGGAGCAAUGGAAUGAGGUGAGCAGUGUGGUCAGGAGAUGGCUGGAUGGGUGCCCUCUUUCCAGUACAGGGUGUUUUUGUGUGGGGUGGAUUCUAAUUCUACAACCCCCUCCAUCCCACUGCAUCCUCCAGGAUGCUAACUUUGGGUCAGAAACAGAGCCAACUAGAGGUACUUGGGCUGCACAGUGACUGUGGGGCGUUGGUGGGAAGGGUAGGAGGCGGAACCUGAUGGAAGGAGCGGUGGGUACCCAGGGAAACCUAGGGCUGUGAGGCCAGUGUCAAGUGGCUCUAGGGUCCCCACUCACCUCCACACUGUGGUGAAAGGCCGCCAAAGCUUGGGCCUUGUAAUCCUCAGGGAGGGCCCUGCUCAGACAGCUGUGCCACUCAUCUCGCUCUGCACAGGAGCUGUGGGCAGAAGCUAGUGUGAGCAAGGCAUGCAGGCAUGCAUAGCAGCUUGGCCUCUGUUUCUCAGUGUAGAUCAAGUUCCCCCACCUCUCCCCUGGCUGUGCCUCUUGGUGUCUGACAUCCCAGCAAGCACCAGCCACCUGCCAGACCAGCCUAGGACUGUACCUCAGUAUCUGCCUCUACUAGCAGGGUAGCCAGGGCAAGCUAGCUGUCCUCUGGGCCUGCUUCCUUCCCUAUAACACGGGACUGUCAGUACCAUUCCUCUAACUCCCAACACUGUUAGGUGGAAGAAAUGACAUGUAGGUUUGUUAAUGGUAAAGCACUGUGCAGAAGCAAAGGGCAUUUGGGAGGCACAGAGGUUCCCACACUUAGGAGGGACGAGGGGCAGGGUGCCAAGGGCUGCGUACACAGAGAUGGGAGGAGUAGGAACAGCUGGAAAAGUUCAACAUCCUCGUCUCUCCAUCUUCCUCAUCAUUUUCCUACAUAGUUUCCCAGACAUUCCCUCACCCAACAUGCUGACUUCCAAAUCCCUACUCUGCACCCUGCCCCGCAGGUUUCCGGAGUGGUGAGCACGGUCCUGAGGCAGCGGGGUGAAAAUUCUCCCAGGGCCCACUAGGUGUCGCUCCCACCCUGCAUUAAGUGUGUGGCCUGCCCAGGAAAGCCAGGAUAAGGGACUAGGUUGGCCAGGGAGGCACAGGGGGUGAUGGGUGACCAGAUGCCAUCCCCUAAAGGGAGAUGUAUGGGUGCCCCUGUUCCCUGAAAGCUUCAGCAUGAAGUAUUUGGGCAUGCCGGAAGGUGACUGGCCUGUCAGUGAUAGUGGCUCCUCAAGGCCACUGGCCCAAGGACAGUGCCCCUGCCUAGUAGAGAUGGACAGCCCCAACUGAAGGGCCGAGUAUGGCCACCCACACUGGACAAAUAGAAGCCAUACCCUUCUCCGGCCUCAGACUUCCCUAGAGAUGAGGAGAAAAAACACCAUGGAACCCCACCUAGGCAUCACCUCCUCCAGGAAGCCUGCCCUUCCCCGAUAGGUGGUUGCUCCAUGGAAUUUUCAAGGUUUCUUCUACCCACUGAGGCCAGUAGACAGCAGUGGAUAAGAGCUCUGGGUCACACACUCCUGCAUUUGAGCCCCAGUUCCUCCUCACAUGGUCAUGUGACUUCCCUCUAGGCCUCAACUCCCCAGGCAUGGGGGAGGCCUCAAGCUCCACACCCAAGGGUGGCGAUGGGAUCAAAGGAGCCUGAAACCCAGCAGAUGCCCAAUGCACAUUGCUCUUGUCAUCAACACCAUUAACUAUUACAGCAGUUAUGUUCUAUGCCCUGCCCUUAAUGUGCGCUUCCGCUGAGCACACCAAGGUUUAAAUCCUGUGUCCUCAGCACAGGACCUAGCACCGAGGAGUGGCUAAUACAUGCUUGAAUGAGUAAACGCAACUACAUGAGAGUGUAUCAGCGUGUGCACAUCCUGUGCCACACCUGGAACGACCUCCUCACACCAAUAGUACUGCUGCCACCCCCAGGGUCAUGCACCAGCUGAGGGAGGAGACACCUAUGCCUUGGGGACCCUGUCCCAGCCCCCACAGUGCCCACAGUGGCGCUAGCAGGAACCGUAUCUCCCUGGGGUUUGAGCCCAGAGAGCUAGAGCUGGCCUUGCCCUGAAGCUCUUUUGCUGCCCAGAGUGAGGUGGGAUCCUUGGGUAGCCUGAAGGCCUGGAGAAAACACAGACACUUCUGAUAGAAAGGCCACAACUCCAAACCAGGGAAAGGCAAAUGAUGAAUGCUCACUCAUUAUGUUUUUCUCUUGCUCUCUGGAUAUGAAAGCCUAAAAGCAGACCACUUUAUGAACUAAAGUGCACAGUGGGUUUUUCACUCACCUUAACUUCUUGCAUUGCUGUAAAGACCCAAUGUUUUACAAACAUGAGAUACUGUUAUUGUUGUAUUUAAACGACAGGUUCUAGAACAUAAGCCCCUUGACCCAAAACAAUACCAAAAUAGACAUGACACAUCCAGCUUGUUAUUCCAACCUUUAACACCUAUAAAAUCCUGCCCCUCCACCCCCCAGGCCCUCCUUCCACCCACCUCCCCAUACCUUGCAGACAGAGUCAGGCAGGACUGGGGAGUCUCGAUCUUUAGAGCAUAGGGCACUUUCUCCAUCACAGGGCGACUGACCUGCAAAACCAACAGCAGACUGUCAGGAGGGGCAACCACAGACCCCACUCUUCUCUUGGUCUUGCCACCAUCCUUCUAUGAGCUUGAGUUUCCUCACCUGCAAAGGGUGGUAGACGCUGUGUGCAUGUGUGUGCAUGGAGGGGGGAGUGCUGGUCCCAACUCUGUGGUCUGUGGGCACCUGCCCACCCCAGGGUGGUGGGUAUGUACCCUAAAGAGCAGAAAGCAGGCUCUUUUUUUUUUUUUUUAAAGAUUUACUCAUUUAUUUAUGAUAGACAUAGAGAGAGGAGAGAGAGGCAGAGACACAGGAGGAGGGAGAAGCAGGCUCCAUGUCGGGAGCCCGACGCAGGACUCGAUCCCGGGACUCCAGGAUCGCGCCCUGGGCCAAAGGCAGGCGCCAAACCGCUGAGCCACCCAGGGAUCCCCGGAAAGCAGGCUCUUAAGGACAUAUCUAUACACCAUGUGCAUAGCAGCAUUAUUUAUAAUAGCCAAAAGGUGAAAGUAACUCAACUGUCCAUCCGUGGAUGAAUGGAAAAACAAAAUAUGGUCUAUAUGUACAAUGGAAUAUCAUUAAGCCAUAAACAGGAAGGACAUUCUGACACAGGCUGCAACAUGGACGCACCUUGAGGACAUCCUGCUAGCUGAAAUAGGCCAGUCACAAAAAGACAAACACUGCAUAAUCCUACUUAUAUGAAUUAUCUAGAGCAAAUUCCUGGAGACAAAAAGUAGGAUGGUAGAUGCCAGGGGAUGGGGCUGGAGGAAUGGGAAAUUAGGAAAGAGGUUGGAGUUUUAUCUGGGGAGGAUUUAAAAACUUCUAGAAAUCACUGGUGGUGAUGGUUGCACAACAGGGUAGAUACACAACACUGCUGAACUGUAUGCUUAAAAAUGAUCAAAAUGGUAAAUUGUAUGUUACCUGUAUUUUGCAAUUUAAAAAAACUUUAUGAAACACCCAUUUAUUUCCUCCCUCCAAAUGUUUCCUUAUGCAUCUUCCUCUUUUUAGAAAUGUCCUUCCCUUUCCCCUUCCCCAUCUGUCCAAAUAUUAUUAUCUAGCCUAAGGGAUUCAGCUCCCCUCCUCCGGAAAGUCCUCCUUCCCUCUCCCCUCUACCUGACUACCUAUAGCACAAAGCUGCUAUAACCCACAAUGAAAUACUGUUUCCCUGGAGCUGCCUCUUCCUGCUGAUCUAUGAGCUUCCAGAAGUGGGGAUGCGGUGGUGUCUCCUCCCCUGAGGUCUCCCUCUGCCCAUCCACCCCAGGGUGGCCUAGUACCAGGCAUUUACCUUCAUGCUGGCCACUGACAACGUGUUCUUCAGCCGGUAUUUCCCAUCCUUCUGGGGAUAUGUGUACAGGAGCACAUCGCUCAUCUGGGGAGAAGGAAACCCCAUCAGAUGUUUCUUGGCCGCAGAAGGCUGUGUGGGGUAUUUGUCUUGGAGGAUCACUGAAUUCUGGAUAGCAGAGGCAUCUUGCCUUUUUCCUCACAGGAAAGCAAAACCACUCUGAGCGAACAUGUGAGCCCCCUCCCUGAAAUCCCACUCCUAGGUCUAUAGUUAAAAGGAAUAAAUGCAGAUGUCCACAAAAAGCCAAGUACAGGAAUGUUCAUGCAGGCUUUAUUCAUAACAGCCAAUAGUGGAAACAACCCAAAUGUUACACAACAGGUCAAUGCGUAAAUGAACCAUGGUACAUCCAUACUGUGGAGUACUACAUAGCAACCAAAAGGAACUGAUGGAACACACACAGCAUGGGUGAAUCUCAAAAACAUGCUAAGUGAAAGAAGUCAGACACAGAGGAGUACACACUGCUUCAUAGCAUUUAUAUGAAGUUCCAAAACAGGUAAAACUAACCUGUAGUGAUGGAAAUUAGGCCAAUGGUCGCUUAGGCAGAGGAUGGGGGAAGUGAGUGCUAAGGGGCACAGGGGACCUUUCAGGGGUGGGGGAUGGCUAGAAAUAUUCUAUACCUUGACCGAAGUGGUGGUUACACAAUGAUAUAUAUUAGUCAAUGCGUAGACAUGUAUACUUAAAUUGAUGCAUUUUACUCUACAAAUGGAGCUGCCAUAAAGUAUAGUUAAGGAAGGGUGAUGGGGAGGGACAUAGCUCCUUAAGGAUAGGGAGCUGCUGAGUCCUGAUCACUGGUGUACCUCCAGUGACCACAGUAGGUAAUAAUAUUUGUUAAAUGAGCAACUGAAGCUCCUUGCCCCUAUCUAGGGCAGACCAGAAGAACCAUAGUGAAAGGCACCUCACUUCCAUGGGGGGAGUGUUUCUGUUUGGCUAAAAGGGUUACAGUUUGGAAAAAGGAUAUCAAUCCUCACCCUGCUCUGUAGCAUCUAUGCGACUGUGGAUAAGCUGCCUGACCCCCCCUCCCUGAGCUUCAGCUUCCUCCCAGCAGAGCAGGAGGAAGCUGCCCCUACCUCAUCAUGGAUGCUGAGAAAGAACUGACCCCAGUGAGCCCACCAUGUGUGGGAGCCAGUAUAAAGUAGGGGCGUUGUGAGGACUGAACAGGACGAGGCAUCUAAGGAGCCGAAACAGAGAAAGAACUCAGGAUUAGCACUUCCUCUCCCCACAGGGAGUCUGCUGUGGGAACAGAAUCCUGCCACUAGCUCUUAGGAUCCCAACAUCGCAGCCACAGUAGCGCAGGACACUUGGCCUGGACACAGAGUUGCUGCAUGAGCAAACCUUUCCUCUCUCUGGACCUCACUGUCUCUAAGCAGAGUUGGGGUAAACCAGGGGCCAGCAAACGUUUCAAUAAAGGCCUAGAGAGUAUUUAAGUCUUUGCAGGUCACAGAGUCUCUGUCACAACUAUUCAACUCAGCCACUGUAAUCCAAAAGCAUUCACAGACCAUCCAUGAAUGAAUGCAUGAGACUGUGUUUCAAUAGACCUCUAGGACCCCCAGGUCAGAGGAGACUUCAAAGCCUCCUCCAGCUCUUCCCUUCUAAUAAUGACAAAGAGCUACUGUCCACUGAACAUUCACUCUGUACUAGGUGCUGAGGUAAGUACCCUGAUCUCAAUUCAUGCCCCCAAUAAUCCCAUCAGGCAGGCACUAUCAUUAUCAUCCUCAUUUCACAGAGGGAGAAAUUGAGGCACAGAGAGCCUUGACAACCUGCCCAAGGUUACAAAACUUGUAAGUGGCAGAGGCAGGGUCAUAUGUAAAUGAAUGCACUUCCAGUAUGUUCAGGUGUGGUAUGUUGGGGGGUGGCCACAUGGUUAAGUCCUGGCCCCAUCUGGGGACAGUGACCAAACCUGGGCACAGAGCCUUGCUCAUAAGCCUGCCCACCCUGGGGAAUUGGCUUAUGUCACUGAUCAGAGCAGUCCCAGACCUUGUAUGGCUGCCCCUCAAGCACCUGCUGCCAUGGCAACUACCAUUAGCACCCUGGGGUUUUAUGAGUGGUCAGGACCAGGCUGCCUUCCAAUUGCCCAUAGUUUUCCUUUCCUCUUCAAAGCGGGCAGGAGUUUUCAGACUGAUCUGGAGGAAGAUAGAGGAAUUCUUCAUUGAAGAGUGAAGGGGAAUCUCUCACAAUAAUAAGCCACCAGUGGGAGCCCCACCUACCACCUGGGGCCAUGGUGGGAACCUCUCUGUAGCAUUACCAAAACCCCCGUGCAGUGGUGGGCAGAUAUCCUGACUUUGUUCUAAAAUUAACAAUUAUUUUAUGAAAAUGGCACCUUAGGAGGAAGAAAAAUUCUUAAGUGUAUUCAUCAUGGCUCUUCCUGGCUCAGGAACCUGUCUGUCUCUCCUGGAGGUAUUUAUGAAGAUCCUAUGCUAAUUCAGAGAAAGAAUGGGACCCUGGUUCAGCCUGCAGGGAGGUAUGGCCUAACAAAAACAAGAGACUAAAAGAGACCCAGGCCUAGCAUGGAGAUGAGUGAGUGAGAGGCUAUGAUGAAGGGCCAAUUAGAUGCUGGAGAGCACAUGAGGGAGGGAAAGAGAGAAAGGAGAGGGCAAAGGGGAGGAGUAGAGGGAGGGGGAAGACACUCAGGAAGAUCAGGACACUGUGUCUUCCCUGGCACUCAAGGUCCCUGUGAGAGGCAGAGGCACAAGCAGAGCCUGGCCAGAGGAGGUGGCCAGAUGGGGAAUGGCUAGGGGUUCAAAAGGGAGCUCCCUCUAUUCCAGCUGCUGCUUCACUCCCUUCCUUCAUAGGCAGGAAGGACAAUUAUCCGACUCUAAAGACAAGGGCACUGAGACUCAGAGAAGUGAUGGAUGUGCCAUGGGCCUCAUAGCCAGUAAGUGUCAGAACUCGGAUGUGAUCCAGUCUGACUCCAAAGCUCAUGCUCCUUUAUCACCAUCCUGGACCUUAUUUUUUCAUCCUGAGAAGACAUGGUUGUGGGCUCCAACUCUCCCCAGGGCUGUGCUGGCACAGAGGGAGAACCUGUGUCCCAUGGGGCCAUUGUGAGAGGGAAGGGAAGACACUGUUUCCAGAUAAGCUGCUUCUAUGUACCUCAUUUAAUUCCCUAAACCGCCUAGUAUUUCCACUUUCCUCUUGGAAAAGCUGAGGCUCAGACAUGUCUGUGACUUGUCUAAGGGUUUCAGAGGGGCUAAGCGUUGGGUUAGGAUCUAACCUGCUCACUCUGGCUCAUGACCACAUAUAUCCUAAAUUCAAGGCUAUCAUUUCUUCUCAUAGAAGGAGUUUUCAAAUAUUUAGACUAACACGGAACAAAAGAUGGCUUCCUCCUAUCUCUCUUUGCUCUUCCUCUUUGUUCCUGUGGCCCUGAGAUUCCGUCCAUGCCAUUCUCAUAAUUCCAUCUUUAUGUCAGACUUUGAAGGUUCAGGGGGCAGCAUGAGACUUUUCUCUUUGUUUCCAGUGCCCAGCACACCAGAGGUGCUCACUUAAUAUCUGAAACACAGUUCUUAAGACACUUGGAGCCUGUUCACUGUUACUCUGCACACAAUUCUAACAAAGUGUAAGGAGGCUGUUGGGCAGCCACAACUGACAGUAAAAAAAAAAAAAAAAAAAAAAAAAAAAAAGCCAAUAGUGAAUAACAGAGAGAAAAUUAUACCCAGCAGGUGGGAGAACUUAAAAGGCAAAACAACUUGGGAGUUGUAGGGUUGGGGCAAAUUGCUGCUUGUAGCUCAACAGCCACAGAGGUUGAUAUUACCAUGUAACAGGCCUAGGCAUUCCCUGGUACUCCAGACUGUGGCUGUAAAUCAUUAGAACUAUUACAUUGUACUCUGUCUUGUGCACAGUGGAGAAAGUGCUAGACUGAGGUCACAACCCUGGUUCCCUUCUGGGCCUCUGCCACCAAUCUGCUGGGAGAUGCAGCCAAGGAAACUCCCCUUCUGGAUCUCAGUUUUCUCAUGCUUAGAUAAGGCAGUCGAAUAGUUAUAUCCAGGGUAAGAACUUCCCAGUGUUAGGAUGUUUCAGAUGGGGAUAGAGGUAAUUCAAUUUCGGCAAAAUUCCAUUCAAAAUCACUCAAAUAAUAAAUGCAGGAAGGGUUGUGGUUGGCAAGGGUUAAGCUCUCAGCUCUCUGGAAAGCUCAGUUCUGCAGAAUGAUCCUCAUCCUAAAUAUUUGUCUCUGUUCUAGCAGCCACCCUCUUCCAGCUGUCUUUGAAUAAUGAGCUAGAAAAACAUCACAGAAUUGGACAGUCCUGGGGCUUGGCUGGGGGCCAGGUACUUACCAGGAACAGGUGUCGGGGGCGUCUGCUUUUCCCUGUUACUUUCAUCAGUGUCCCCUCCUUCAGAAACUCCUGUGGGAAGAGAAGGAGACCUGGAGAGUCAGACUGAUGCCUACUGCCAUCCUAAAGAAGGAUGGGGGAAAGGCCCUGAGAAGGAACCAUUAGUUACGAUGCCUCCCAAAGCACCACAGAAUAGCUCAUGGGUGAAUUCCCAGCUUUAGAGUGAUGCCCGUGUUUGCCAGCACAGCUCUGGAGACAGACAACUCUGCUUUUUAGGAACACUCCACUCUGAAUUAUAUACCAAGUCCCAGACACUGUUCUGGCCUCCAAGUGAUCCAGACAGUGACUCCUUCCCUGGUUUGCUGUCUUGAGGAGACCUUCAGACUGGACACUCUGAAGGUUUGCUAAAACAGUGGAAGACCUGUGAAUAGCUGCUACAGGCUCCUUAAUUCUGGAGGAUAUUUAAAACAGAUGUUUAUUCUUUUUAAAAGAUUUUAUUUAUUUAUUCAUGAGAGACACACACAGAGAGAGGCAGAGACACAGGCAGAGGGGAAACAUGCUCCAUGCAGGGAGCCCGAUGCGGGACUUGAUCUCAGGA